GCAGCUGCAGCCUCCUCCAGGAUUAGUGCCAGGCCAGUUCCUUGCCCCAGGGAGGAAGCCUAGUCUGACAUCUGCUCCCUUGAAGCUGAGUAUUCUGAAGGCUGAAACUCCGCUGAGAACAACCCCAUUUU
rnacentral:lncRNA from 1 species